rnacentral:lncRNA from 1 species
AAAUGCUUUGAUGAUCCAUUUCAGCCAACAAAUGUGUAAUACACUAUGUCUAAACUAUCAUACAUGCUAUUUCUACUCAUUUCUAACCUUAAUCAUUAAUUUCUACUUAUUUACACAAAAAUUCAAAAGCUUAUCAAAAACUCAAAAGACUUACAAAUUUCAACUUUUCUUCAGGUUUAGAUGAUGUUUCUGAUGUUGAUUGAAGUUCCUUUGAACUUUGUUGAUUGAUUUUUG